rnacentral:rRNA from 1 species
UACGUAGGUGGCAAGCGUUAUCCGGAAUUAUUGGGCGUAAAGCGCGCGCAGGCGGUUUUUUAAGUCUGAUGUGAAAGCCCACGGCUCAACCGUGGAGGGUCAUUGGAAACUGGGGAACUUGAGUGCAGAAGAGAAAAGCGGAAUUCCACGUGUAGCGGUGAAAUGCGUAGAGAUGUGGAGGAACACCAGUGGCGAAGGCGGCUUUGUGGUCUGUAACUGACGCUGAGGCGCGAAAGCGUGGGGAGCAAACAGG